ACCUUGUGCUCACAGCUCUCUCACAAUUUUGGUAUGCGUCUACGAGCUUUACUUUAUACGGUAAACUUUUAGAUUAAACUACAAUCUUCCCUUCAAACAUCAUUUUUUGAUAGCAUGCUUCUAGAAUGAGAUAGAACCAAGUAAGUAUAGCUUUUCGCAUGUGAGUUUUCGCAACGCUGGUGUAGGCAUUAUUUUCAGCAAUUGAGCGUAUUGUAGUUUAAAUUCUGUGCAAAUAAAAUGCCCGAAAUUGAGUUGAUCUAGUACUUCAAUUACUGAAUGGGCAAUGAAAGGUAAAUAACUUGCAAAACUUCUGUUUGAGAUUUCCUUUUCUUCUUCUGUUUUUGAUUGCACCAAUCGUGUUUUAGUUUAUCUCACUCUAGUACUGCUAGAAAAUCUACUAACAUGUUACAUUCUUUUUUCAGUAUCUACAGUUAUCGAAUACGUUACGGAGGAAAUUGUCCAAAAUAGAAAACCGAUCAAGCCCACUCGCUCCAAGCGGACCAAACCCAAGCACAACGUAAAGGAGAUUAUAAACAGUACCCAAGGAGUCCCCGUGGUGUACCAGAAUACACGUUUUGGAGCGGCUCAGGUACUCUUGGAGGACAUGGCAUACUCGUUCACCUACACGAAGAACCAAAUAAGCCACUACAGAUGCAGCCGAUACAGGAGCCAACAGUGCCCGGCCGAGGUAGUUGUCAACAACAAGCUGGUCUACUAUCUCUGUGCUGCCCAUAAUCACGAUUUGGCUACCGGUCAGCAAUUGGAUGGUAUCUGUAGGUCGUAUCUAGCUAGAGAUGCGACGUAAGUUUUGAUUGGAUGUGGUUGCAAUGUACAAGAAUGGAUAAAAUUAUUUCCAGUAAAGUAUGCGUUGACCUGAUUCUUUCGGGGGUGGAGAAGUCCCCAUCCGAUAUCAUCUGGGAAUGGUUGGCUAUGUCUAGUAGAAUCGCCUAAUUAUGUCCAAAUUCAUGUCAUACUUCUUAAAUAAUUUCAUUGGCAUUUCUAUAUUAGAUUGCAAUACUUACAGAAUUCAUAACAUGAUUAUUUACAUAGCUAUGUGAAGUACUAGAUUAAGGAAGAAUACAAAAUCAAAUACAAUAUUCCUACACUAUCAAGAAAGUUUUGUUUAUGAUUUAGUUAAACAGUAUUGAAUUGACAAUUCAUCAGCGAGAACUGUCACUAUAACGCAACAAUCUUUCCAGAGGACCGUGAAAUCACCUUCAUUGUGGGAAGACUCGGCAACAUGCAGUUGAUCAUCGACGGCCACCUGUACACCCGGUCUCAAAUCAGGGAACGCAUCAUCAUUUGGCACUGCUCUCGGCAAAGAUCUGGAUGCAAAAGUCGGAUCAGCACCCUGCGAGGCGAACCGGGAACGGCCUACUCCUUCCGUGAGGACCACAAUCACGAGAGCAAAUUUGACUUCAAAAAUAGGGACAUUAAGGUUCUCAAGGUGGCCAAACUGUUGAUUGUUGGCAAAAAUCGUUAGAUUGCGUUGUUUUUAAUUUCAGGCUGAACAAUAAAAUAGAAAUUAGUUUUUCGUAACUUUAGUCUUGAUUCUGUUGAACACAAUUCAUCGUUUAAAUGAAAAUUAUUCGAAAGGCUUGGAAAAAAAGUCAAAUAAUAUUGAUGAAAAAUUAGAAAUUUCACUAACUAUUGCCAUUAUGAAUGUACAUUUCAGACAAUAAAUCUGAUGAAAGUAAUAUCUACGUCGUGUGCACCGCCGAAGGGGAGUACAAGAUUCAGGAGAAACCUGCAGCUACAGCGAGACAAACAAAAACGACCAAAUCUCCAUUCAAGGUUUCGUCGCCGAUGCAGGUUGUUUGCAUUCUAGGCGGAUUCACAUUCCCAAUCUCCGAUGGCGAUGAAGUGGAACGAUUGGAAAAAAUCAUUUCGGAACGGGUCGACAUUCGCGAGGAAUAUGUGAAAUUGUUGAAGCGCAAAUCGAAACAUAUCAAACUAUUCCAAUUUAUGCCGUCAGUUUUCUCGGAUGAAGCUCUGGAAGGAUAUAACUUCAAUGGAGCAAACGUGCUUGGUAGGCGCAAGAUCGCCAUGAAAGGUUACAAUAUUUUCAGCAGUUGUUUCAUGGAUGCUUACGAAUCGGAAGGGCUAACCAUGGAAGAACUGGCCAACCAAAUAACCACGGCCAUCAAGCAGACUCGUAACAGAAUGCGUCAGCGUACCUUCCGGGUGAAGAGAUCUAUCGAGAAGAUGUUGAAGCAAAAAUCGGAACACUAGCUGGUUGUGUUCGUUCUGGAGUAAACCGGAAAUUUCACCGAUAACCCAUUCGACCUCUUGUAGAAAAUAAUUAAUGUAGUACUAGAUAAGAUUCAUACCUGACCGAUGAUGUAUUUUGUACUUAUUUGAUUUUAGCGAAUCAACUUAAUAUUUUUCAUGUAAACAAUAUAAAAAUUGAAUGAUUUUGAUAUGAGUUAUGUUUGAUUUCGAUGCUAUUACAAAAAUAUUAUUUUUAACUUUAAUAAAUAAGUAAAAAAUAUAACUCAUCUGAAGCAGAAAAAAAACAACCAAUUAGCAAAUAAUGUCAGUAUACAGUUGCUGAACACUGUAAGACGGCAUCGCUUCAUUUAUCAAUCUAGUACCUCAUUCAUGCGAUAUCAAACCACAUCAAACUGUUUCCUUUGUUUAACAGAAAUAGUCGUGGAGGACAUAAAGCUGGAAAGCAUUCCCAUCCAAGUGGAUUCUACACUUCCAGCUAGCGGUAAUGCAGUACUAGAACAAAUAGCAGAAUCUCACAAAGAUGAGGAUAUAAAGUUGCAAAAACUAGACCCACGUGUACAUGAAGGUGCGGCCGGCAAACUACUUCAUAUACAGCCAAACAUCAACCAAAAUGAGCGACGUCCUCCGAGUAGAAAGCAUUCCAAAUCAGUUCGCGUGGCUGGAUUUGAAUUUCCUCUGACAUGCGAAGAAGAUGUCGACCGGUUGGAACUGAUGGUCAAACGGAAUCCUAUCAUCAGAAACCAAUAUAUAAAAUAUCUGGCAGCGAAUAAACUACCCAACAUGGAGAUUGCUCACAUCCUUUACCGGUUUUUCAACGACGAAGCCCUCUCUAAUUUCAACUGGACUGGCCAGGAACGGUACGACUCUAGUGCUUCGUGUAAAAAGAAAGCCAUGCAAAAGUUCGACAUUUUCAAUUCAUGUAUGCUAGAAGCGUGGUCCAGCCAUGGUGUUACGCAGGACGCUUUGGCUGGUUCGCUGAAGAAAGCUGUGCAACUAGUUGGUCGACGACGGUACAAUCUCAUCUACAAUCAGCGGAAACGACUUCAAGCGCUAGAUCCCGAACACUGACGUUUUCCAGUGGUCGUGAAAUAACACAGCUUCAUACACAGUUAUCAUUUAACUAAAAUUGUCUUCUAAUCUAGUACCUCUGCUGAGUUUUGCCUUCUACAAUUUAAGUUGUAACUAGAAAAAUACAAUAUAUUUAUUUUUGAUAUAGUACUUCACACGUUUCAAUCGUUUUCAGCUGACAAACUCUUUAAAUUAAAUGGAACGAAAAUUUCGUCCAAUUUUAUACAACUAAGUUUUUCUGUUUUCUUUGCAGCAACAACUGGGAACAAAAUGGAAACGUCUACCACUUAUCCGAAAAUUGAAAUCAUCUCUCAAAUACGAUUGCAUCCACCACAAGAAAAUCCAACGAUUUCACGACUGCACGGCUUACUGAGGGGAUCUAGCGUAGGAGGGGUACCUGAAAAAGUUCCGUUGUACAGCGGUAGCGACAUCUACAUAGCAUUGGAGGACCUGGUAAAAAUCUAUUCUUCCAACCCGGCUCUCUAUACUGCCCGACUGAUGGACAUAAUGUUCGGUAGAGAGAUAUUGAAUAAUGCAUGCAUUGAACCAGCGGGGAAUGAAGACGAUUUGGAACAACUAGAUUCACAUAAACUGCGAUCUAUGAUUGGUAAGAACGUUUCUCGGCCUGUCGGGUAGUAGCAGAUCGGUGUUCAAUCAACACAUUUUUUUUUUUGUUUACAGUGCAUGUGAUUAAUGUUUUCAGAAAACAAAACAUUGAAUUAUCAGAAUCGAUUGUAUUGGAAUACGUUCGUCAUCGGCUAUGCUUCCUAAAACAAAUGAAAAAGGAAAAAUUUUUUCAAGGCCAGUCUGCAAUCGAAUGUAGUACUAAUACUUCGUCAGUUUAAAUUUCUGGUAUACUAUUUGAAAAAUACUCCAUUUUGUAUUGUAAUAUAAAAAACCAUUUCAACUUAAAUACUAACAUUAUUCUUCUUUAUAGAUCAGCGUGAUCUGAAACAGGCAACAAUGGUUAUCAACGUUCCAUGGAAUCGAAUACAGUAUUGAAUUGCUUAUUACCGUCAUUUUUUAAAGCAUUCGUUUUCGAGGAAAUAUAUGAAAUUUUAAAAAUCAACGAAUCUUAUACUUCUUUACAUAAAUUGAGCCAUUUCUACCACUUGAUGUAUUCUAAAGUAACCGUUCUUUAAUCGUUAUGCGUUUCCAGGUCCCUCUAAACUCCGUGCGGCCAAGUUCGGUUACACCCAGAAGGGCAGGGCGAUGCUGCUGUACAACGGGUAUGCCUACAUCAAAGACCGCCAGGCUCAGAAGAGCUGUAACUGGAAGUGCUCGUUGUUCGGAAAGCUGAAAUGCCGAGCCAGGGCCGUCACGAAGGAGGUUAACGGGCGGCAGAUGAUGAAAAUCACCAAACCCCUCCAUAACCACACUCGCGAUGUGUACUCGUUUGAUAAGUGUAAAAAAUCUAAAGAAUAAGUUUCUGACAAAAAUGUCAGAUGUUCAAUCACAAUGAAACAUUAGCAAGCUUCUUAUUGUAUCUGUAAUCAACUAAGAGUUACGUUAUAAAAAUAUCAUUAUAAUAAAAUAUACUCUUCUAUCAUUUAUGUACAAAUUCUAGUACUUCAUGUCUUAAGAUAUCGUUUCGAGUAUAUUUUUGGUGGUAUUCGUGUCUUCCUUGUCCUCAUUAUCACUUAAUUUUUCUCUCAGAGAUUGAAUGAUAUCGGGUCUUUGAUUAGUGAAGAGAUAGUGGCCACAUAGUACUAGAAUAGUAAGUGCAGACAAACUGAAACCUAAUUGAUACGACACUAGUGAGUCACUAACAUUUUUAUCUGUAUCCCCAACAGGAAACGUAAUCUAUGUACUGUCGAAGCGUGGCACCAAGCAUCUGUUUCACGAUGGAAACACCUACACUCCAAAUGAGCGACCCUACCCAGGGCAGCGGUCCCGAACGUGGAAAUGCUCGUUGUACUACCGGCUCAAGUGUCGUGCCCGCAUUGUCACCAGUGAAGCCGAUGGGCUACCCAAGCUGCGGGUGGUGGUUGCAGAACAUACCCACUCGAAAGUGUUCCCCAAUUUAACGCAUAAAUUUCGCAGUUUGUUCUAGUGGGUUGAACAAAUUAAACAAUCUAGUCUACUAUUCAAGGAUCUCAAUGUUUUAUAGGUGAACAACCAUGCAUGCUUUAAGAGCAUUUUUUACAAUCGGAAAGAUGCGGAUUCUUCGUAAAUCUACUUUUUUUAUUAUAUUUUAGUUAUUCAUAAUAUAUAGGUAUUCAGUAGAGUGCGUCUGAGGGAGUACUAGAUUUGUAGUGAUGAGCUAUAAUGCCCAUGAUGUGUACACUAUUUCAUGUUAGAAAAAAAGAUUUUAUCAUCUCAUCAUACAAACAUCUAUCUCAGUACCAUAAAUCUAGUACUUCAUCGAUCCUGCUCUACAGGUGUAGUUUGCAUUUAAAACUUUGUAGGCACAUGGUAGGAUGGCACAUAUUUCCCAAAUGGAGGAGAACGUGCCUCUGGAGCCAAUAUACUAAUAGGUUCUGGCUACGCAUAUUGUAUUUUUAUUAUAUAACAAGAAGUUCUA